rnacentral:lncRNA from 1 species
AUGUCAUGAACUGGUGAGUGAUUCCUUGAUUAAGCAAUACCACCUAGGGAUAGGGGUAGGACGAUCAAUUGUUUUUCACUUCUGCUCUAUAAUGCAUUACUAAAUGCUAGGGGAGGCUAGGGAUAACAAGCCAGUAAUUAGUAAUAGGCACUUUUCGCCGAGGGAUCGGGUUAAGGGUAGGCCAAGAAAGUUGCAUAACAAUUAGUUAAUCAAGCAAAUAAAUCAAGAGGAGUAAAUAAGAGAGAGCGGAUAAGAUAAAAUUGUAAACCCCCAACAACUCCAUUCAUCCAUCGUUUUCUUCUCGUCAAUUGAAUCAAUCUCUUUUGCAUGCUUAUAUUUUGUUCUCAUACACAAUUAAUUAAUUUUUAUUUUCAAGUCUUACGAUCUUAAUUCACACGACCGAUAAGGCCUUUCGAGUCUCUUGGGAAACGAUACUUGGACUUACCAUUUUAUUAUUACUUGAACGAUUUGGUACGCUUGCCAACCCGUUAACAAGUUUUUUGGCGCCGUUGCCGGGGACUCGAGGUUUACUUUUUCAAGUAGUGUGGAUUGACUGAAUUUGACUUGGCUGUAAUUAUUUUUGUUUUAUUUUUGUUUAUUUGUGUUUUAUUUUAAUUUUCUGUAAAAGUGCUUUUAGGGUUUGUUUCUUGUGUAUGAGGAAGCAAUCCAUACUAGAAGCAGAAAAGACCAGCAACC